rnacentral:rRNA from 1 species
GAUGAACGCUGGCGGCGUGCCUAACACAUGCAAGUCGAGCGAACAGACGAGGAGCUUGCUCCUCUGACGAUAGCGGCGGACGUGUGUGUAACACGUGGAUAACCCACCUAUAAGACUGAUAUAACCUCGGGACACCGGAUCUUAUACCGUAUAAUAUUUUGAACCGCAUGGUUCAAUUGUAAGAUACUUUUUUGCUGUCACUUCUAGAUGGAUCCGCGCCGCAUUAGCUAGUUGGUAAGGUAACGGCUUACCAAGGCAACGAUGCGUAGCCGACCUGAGAGAGUGGUAGGCCACACUAGAGCGGAGACGGGGACCAGAGUACUGAGGGAGGCAGCAGUCGGGAAUGUUACGCAAUAGGCGGGAGCCUGACGGAACAGCGGCAAGCGAGUGACGGAGAUGUUCGGAGCGUGAAACUGUGUUAUGGGGGAAGAACAAAUGUGUGAGUAGCUGUAGACAUCUUGACGGUACCUAAUGAAGAAGCCACGGCUAACUACGUG